rnacentral:rRNA from 1 species
UACGGAGGUGGCAAGCGUUGUUCGGAAUUACUGGGCGUAAAGCGCGCGUAGGCGCCUUCUAAGUCGGACGUGAAAUCCCUCGGCUUAACCGAGGAACUGCGUCCGAGACUGAAAGGCUUGAAUCCGGGAGAGGGAUGUGGAAUUCCAGGUGUAGCGGUGAAAUGCGUAGAUAUCUGGAGGAACACCGGUGGCGAAGGCGGCAUCCUGGACCGGUAUUGACGCUGAGGAGCGAAAGCCAGGGGAGCAAACGGG